rnacentral:rRNA from 1 species
UCGGGAAUUUUGGGCAAUGGGCGAAAGCCUGACCCAGCAACGCCGCGUGAGGGAUGAAGUAUUUCGGUAUGUAAACCUCGAAAGAAUGGGAAGAAUAAAUGACGGUACCAUUUAUAAGCUCCGGCUAACCACGUGCCAGCAGCCGCGGUAAUACGUAGGGAGCAAGCGUUGUUCGGAUUUACUGGGCGUAAAGGGCGCGUAGGCGGCGCGGUAAGUCACUUGUGAAAUCUCUGAGCUUAACUCAGAACGGCCAAGUGAUACUGCUGCGCUAGAGUGCGGAAGAGGCAACCGGAAUUCUUGGUGUAGCGGUGAAAUGCGUAGAUAUCAAGAGGAACACCUGAGGCGAAGGCGGGUUGCUGGGCCGACACUGACGCUGAUGCGCGAAAGCCAGGGGAGCAAACG